UNCGCCCUACGGGGGAAAAAUUUAUUGCUAUUAGAUGAGCCUAUAUUAGAUUAGUUAGUUGGUGAGGUAAAGGCUUACCAAGACAAUGAUCUAUAGCUGAUCUGAGAGGAUGAUCAGCCACACUGGAACUGAGAUACGGUCCAGACUCCUACGGGAGGCAGCAGUGGGGAAUAUUGGACAAUGGGCGAAAGCCUGAUCCAGCCAUGCCGCAUGAGUGAAGAAGGCCUUCGGGUUGUAAAGCUCUUUUAGUGAGGAAGAUAAUGACGGUACUCACAGAAGAAGUCCUGGCUAACUCCGUGCCAGCAGCCGCGGUAAUACGGAGAGGGCUAGCGUUAUUCGGAAUCAUUGGGCGUAAAGGGCGCGUAGGCGGGUUAGUAAGUUAAAAGUGAAAUCCCAAGGCUCAACCUUGGAACUGCUUUUAAAACUGCUAGUCUAGAGAUUGAAAGAGGAUAGAGGAAUUCCUAGUGUAGAGAUGAAAUUCGUAAAUAUUAGGAGGAACACCAGUGGCGAAGGCGUCUAUCUGGUUCAAAUCUGACGCUGANGCGCGAA
rnacentral:rRNA from 1 species